rnacentral:rRNA from 1 species
AGAGUUUGAUCCUGGCUCAGAUUGAACGCUGGCGGUAUGCUUAACACAUGCAAGUCGAACGGUAACAGGCAAAAGCUUGCUUUUGCGCUGACGAGUGGCGGACGGGUGAGUAACGCGUAGGAAUCUGCCUAGUAGUGGGGGACAACCUGGUGAAAACCAGGCUAAUACCGCAUACGCCCUACGGGGGAAAGCAGGGGAUCUUCGGACCUUGCACUAUUGGAUGAGCCUGCGUCGGAUUAGCUAGUUGGUGGGGUAAAGGCCUACCAAGGCGACGAUCCGUAGCUGGUCUGAGAGGAUGAUCAGCCACACCGGGACUGAGACACGGCCCGGACUCCUACGGGAGGCAGCAGUGGGGAAUAUUGGACAAUGGGGGCAACCCUGAUCCAGCCAUGCCGCGUGUGUGAAGAAGGCUUUCGGGUUGUAAAGCACUUUCAGUGAGGAGGAAAUGGUGACUGUUAAUAGCGGUUACAAUUGACGUUACUCACAGAAGAAGCACCGGCUAACUCCGUGCCAGCAGCCGCGGUAAUACGGAGGGUGCAAGCGUUAAUCGGAAUUACUGGGCGUAAAGCGCGCGUAGGCGGCUAAAUCAGUCGGGUGUGAAAGCCCUGGGCUCAACCUGGGAACUGCAUUCGAUACUGUUUAGCUGGAGUAUGGGAGAGGGUAGUGGAAUUCCACGUGUAGCGGUGAAAUGCGUAGAUAUGUGGAGGAACACCCGUGGCGAAGGCGACUGCCUGGCCCAAUACUGACGCUGAGGUGCGAAAGCGUGGGUAGCGAACAGGGAUUAGAUACCCUGGUAGUCCACGCCGUAAACGAUGUCAACUAGCCGUUGGAGGACUUGAUCUUUUAGUGGCGCAGCUAACGCGAUAAGUUGA